rnacentral:lncRNA from 1 species
UGAACGGCGCCGUGGAUUCGGCGUGAUCGAAGGCGAUUCGUGGAUUCGGAUCGUGAGCUCGUGAAUUCGAGUGGGCGUCGUGGAUUCAGCGUGAUCGAGGCUUCGUGAAUUCGGAAUGGUGUCGUUUCGUGAAUUCGGAACGUGGCAUUCGUGAAUUCGAACUUGAAGGCGUGGACAACCCAGAGGAUUGCGCGAGAUUCAUAGAAGGUUAAGAGAGGUCGAGUCCGUAAAGUCGAUAAUCACCUUGUAAUCUUUUCUCUUAGUGAAUUAUUUUUUCGCGUGUUGGUCCCGUGGGUUUUUAACUCCAAGUUGGAGUUUUCCUACGUAAAUCUUGGUGUGAUUUUUAUUUUUCGCAUUUACUUUUAUCGCAUUGAGAUUUGUGAUUUUUGGACGUUACACCUAUUCACACCCCUCUAGGUGUUUAAUACAAUCUAGAUAGAUCCUUGGGAACCCCAAAACUUACAAUUGGUAUCAGAGCGGGAUCUAAAUAAAUUGUUAUCUAUGGCCGAAGGCGGUAACAUUAAUCGACCACCACUCUUCGAUGGCACGAAUUAUGCCUAUAGGAAAGUUCACAUGAGAGCUUUUCUAAUCGCAAUCGAUGAGCGGGUGUGGCAAGCUAUCAAAUUCGGUUGGAAGCAUUCUAGUGAAGUCGUCGAUAAUGCUACCGUUCCUAAACUGCGGAACAAGUGGACGAAAGACGAAAACGAGUCAUCUUCGUUUAAUGGCAAGGGCAUAAAUGCUUUAUUUAAUGCAUUGUCACAAACGGAGUUCACUCGCGUUUUGGCGUGUAAUACCGCCAAAGAGAUUUGGAAUACUCUACAAGUUACGCAUGAAGGAACGAGCUUAGUAAAGGUCCAAAAAUUACAAAUGCUAACAAGCAAGUUUGAUUCAAUUUCUAUGGAUUAAAACGAGACCUUUACCGAGUACUAUACGCGACUUCAAGAUGUUGUUAAUACUUGUGCGAACUUGGGAGAGAAAAUCCCGGAUGCUAAAGUUGUUAGAAAAAUUCUUCGGACUCUUCCGGAACGUUUUCGGGCAAAGGUUGCCGCGAUUGAAACGGUAAAGCAUCCGGACGAGAUGAAAGUAGAGGAAUUAGUAGGCGCUUUACAAACAUAUGAGAUGACUUUUCCUACUAACCUAUCUUUUUCCAAGUCUUCUUCUAAAAGUACAGGGGUUGCACUCAAAUCGACAAAGAAAGAAGACGACGACUCGGAUUCCGACGGAGACGUUUCGCUUGCCGAUUUUGAACAUCAAUUAGCGCUCCUAACGAAAAAAUUUCGUCGGAACUUCCGAAACAAGAAUAAAUUGGAGAAGGCUUCAUCGUCUAAGCAACAAUCUUUUUCUAAAUCAUCUUCAUCUUCUAAAUCUAAGGAUAAGAAAUUUGUAAAGUCUUCGAAAGAAAAAGAUAAAUUUGAAGGGAAAAUCCAAUGCUACAAAUGUAAAGGCUACGGUCACAUUGCGAUGGAUUGUCCUUCUAACAAGACUUAUAGACAAAAGACUUUGCAAGCUAAAACUUGGGAUGAUUCUACUUCGAGUGAAUCAUCUUCAAGUGACGAAGAAAAGAAUGAAAAUCUUGCUUUGUUUACUAACACAUCUUUGCCUUCGUCUAACGUUGUAUGUCUAUCUUCUAUUGUUUCCAAUUCUAGUGUUUCACCUUCCUUGCAUGGAUCUUCGAGUGACAAUGGCGAAAGCGAGGAGGAAUCAAACGCCGAGGAUUUAGUGGAAGCUUAUCAUCAACUCCUUGUCGAAUCCAAAAGGAUGGCGAAGCACAAUAAGAAAUUGAGGAAGCGUCUACUUGAACUAGAAGAGCAAAACAAAAAUUUGAAGACCACGAAUAAAGCUCUUGAGUAGGAAAGGGAAUCAAUUUUGAAGAACAUUUCAAUCCUCCAAGAGAAGCGUGAUGAAGCGGAAUUAACGAUCAAAUCCUAUAAAGAUAAAGUUGGAGUUUUCGAGCAACAAUUUGAGGAAUCGUACACAUCCAACAAAUCAUUGACCGAUCAAGUUUGUCAACUCUAAUCCGAUAUUCAAAAAUUUUCCUCGGGAUCGAAGAAGUUGGACCAUAUGCUCGGGUUGGGUCAAACGAACAAGCUUGGCCUCGGAUAUGAGAGAACGUAUGUUGAGAAGGAUUUAAAGUCGACAUCGAAAGUCUCAACAACCUUAAAAGAAAAGGUGUGUCAUCGAUGUGGCAUCAAAGGACACAUCAAAAGGAGUUGUCCGAACAAGGAUUUGAAACCUCAAUCGGCAUCAUCUACAACUCGACUUCCCCCACGAAAUUCAAAUAAAAAUCAAUUGAGUCGAGCACCUCGAGGGAAUCGGAUAUCUAAUGCACAACAUCAAGUCCGACCGAACCCUCAAGCAAAUCGGACUUGUAGCGCACAACGUCAAUGCCAAGUUCAUGCAAACCGGGUGUCUAAGCUUCAACGACAAGUUCAACCGAAGCCUCAAGCAACGAAACGACCAACGGUUGAUUCAAAAUCAAAACAAAUUGUGUCUAACGUCGACAAGCCAAGACAACCUACUAUCCGACAAGUGUGGAUCCGGAAAGGUGAUAUCUUUCCUUGUUCUUCAUCUUAGUUUGUUUUGAUUGUUUAUGUAAUGCUUUAUUUGGUGCUUGUUGUAUAUUUUUAUUCAUUACAUUACAUGAUGAUUUUCGUAUGUUAAAUUUAUUUUUAAAAUUGAUUUGAGGAAAGGUGUUUGGGAAUUUAAAAAUUUUUCUUUGAGGAAGGAGACGAUUGAAAAUCUUUAUUUUGGGGAGAUUAGAAUUUUUCAAAGUACCUUAACCGGAAUUCAUCUUGAAUUAAAUUCAUAUUAAUUAUCGGUUUUACUCCACUUUUUAUUAUUUUAACGAUAAUUUAUUAUAUGAAUUCUUAAUAUAUAUAUUUAUCAAAAUUUUAAAAUCAAAUUUGAUCUCUUGGUGAUUAAUCUAUCUUGGUUGUGUGUGUUGGAUAUGAUAGAUGGAUAUUCGCUAAUAGACUAAAAUUUGUCAAAAUUAUUUUUAAUUGUGAGAUUGUCUAAUUUAGGGGGAGUUACAUCUUAUUUAAAAAAAAGAGGAGAAAUUCCUAUGUUUAAAAGAUGUGGAAAGAGUUACAUCCAAAAGCAGUGUGAAAACUACCACCACUGUAGGAAAGAGCUACCACCUCGGUCGUCCGGUAAGUGUGUGAAGCUACCAUAUGAAAAAUUAAUUGAGUAGCCGAAAAAGUUUGAAAAAAUAUGAAUAUGUUAGAAUUUUCGGAGUUAAAAGGUGGUAGGAUGAAAAGAUGCUCAAAGAGCCACCCCCGGUGCCAUAUUAGUUAAAUCUCUAUUUUGAACAAGUUGCGACAAAUUGGUGUCAAUUUUACCGAAUUUCUAUAAGUCAUUUUUUAUUAACCGAUACAUCUUGAUGAUUUUAAAUCAUUAGGUUAUUUUUUAUAACAAAUUUUUGAUGUUUCAAUGCAUUUUGAAAUCCUAUAAUAUUUUAUUUUCAUUAUAAUAAUUUUUAGAGUACAAUCCUUAAUUAUUAUGAAAUUAAUUUAUUUAUGAAGCCCUCUAGGUAAAUUUUUCGAAUUCUGUGAACUAUUAACCGGUUACUAAAUCCCGAGUAUCGGUACCAAUAUUGCACUACAGAAUUAUUUAACCAGUUCAUUCAUUUAUUUCUCUCCCAAAUCUGAAAUCAAAUCGCUCCGUUUCUCUCUCUAAAAAUUUCUAUAUGUUUUCUAGUAUGUUUUCUAGUGUGUUUUCUCUCUAUAUGCUUUGUUUUGGUAAUUUUUGACAAAAAGGGGGGAGAACAUAGAUGGACAGGUAUUGAUCAAAAGAGGGGGAGAAAAUUGAAAAACAAAGGGGGAGAAGAGGAGAAGAAAAGAAUUUCGAGGACAUUGACAUUGAAGGUAUAAGAAUGACUAAUGUUUUGAUUCUCUACUUCGUUUUGGAUAAUUUAUUUUGCAGGAAAUCAAGAUUUCAAGACUCCUAGUUGCGUCUAAGUCAUAGAGUCUGUUUUAGGAGUUUUGAUGUAUUUUUGAACUUCAAGUUGUAUUUGGACUACAUGCGAGGAGUUCGAUGUUUUAGUGAUGACAUUGAACUUCGUUUUUUUUAAGAUAUAUUUUUUUUGUGAGUUUUUGAGCUUUGUCACGAAAUUGCCAAAGGGGGAGAUUGUUAAGUCUUGUGUGUUGGCAUGUUUCAUGAAGUGAGUCGGAGUCUUGAAGGAUCAAUGCAUAUCGUCGAAGAUCGAAGAAUCCAAGACUUCAAAGAAAUCGAAAAAUAACUCACGAUGUGAAUCACGAUGCUCAGGCAAAGUUUUAAUUCAUGUUAUGGUGAUUCAUACUUAGUUGUAGGCAUUAGAAUUAUAAAAUCAAAGAUUAGUGGAUUAGAAAGUGCCUCGGAACUUUGCGAAAUUUGAAACUUUGCAAAAAAAAACUGAAAAUUGCAAAGUAUACCGGUACAACAUCAGAAGUGUACCGAUACAAAAUGUGUUCCGGUACAACCAGCGACUUAUCACCGGUUACAGCGUUUCGCAGGUUUUCUCUUCCGUCAUCGUGUAACCGGUAACAACUUAAAGUGUAUCGGUACACAAUGUAAAAAUCUGAAAACUUUCUAAUCCGACUCUAAUUGAUUCUAAAGUCUAUAAAUAAGCUAUUGGGGUUCUCUAACUCAUCAAGCAUCACGAGAAUUCAUGUUUGAGAAAUCCUAGAGGCCCUGAUUUCAUGCUAAACCUAUUUUCUACAAAUUAGCUUCUUUUAGGUCAAUUCGAAGGAUUGAAAUCCCUAUCUAUAUGUCGAAUUGAUCUAAACUUCGCUUGGAGUUUCUUCUCUGGUUUUCAUCGAUACUCUAAGCGAAGGAUCACCAUACACAUGAUGUUCUUUACGAACGGUGUCGUGGAUUCAGUGUGAUCGAAGGCGAUUCGUGGAUUCGGAUCGUGAGCUCGUGGAUUCGAGUGGGCGUCGUGUAUUCGGCAUGAUCGAGUCUUCGUGAAUUCGGAGUGGUGGCGUUUCGUGGAUUCGGAACGUGGCGUUCGUGGAUUCGAACGUGAGGGUGUGGACAACCUAGAGGAUUGCGCGAGAUUUAUAGGAGGUUAAGAGAGGUCGAGUCCGUGGAGUCGGUAAUUAUCUUGUAAUCUUUUCUCUUAGUGAAUUAUUUUUUCGCGUGUUGGUCCCGUGGGUUUUUUACUCCAAGUUGGAGUUUUCCUACGUAUAUCUUGGUGUGAUUUAUAUUUUCCGCAUUUACUUUUAUCGCAU